rnacentral:rRNA from 1 species
AACGAACGCUGGCGGCAUGCCUAACACAUGCAAGUCGAACGAGACCUUCGGGUCUAGUGGCGCACGGGUGCGUAACGCGUGGGAAUCUGCCCUUGGGUUCGGAAUAACUUCGGGAAACUGAAGCUAAUACCGGAUGAUGACGUAAGUCCAAAGAUUUAUCGCCCAAGGAUGAGCCCGCGUAGGAUUAGCUAGUUGGUGAGGUAAAGGCUCACCAAGGCGACGAUCCUUAGCUGGUCUGAGAGGAUGAUCAGCCACACUGGGACUGAGACACGGCCCAGACUCCUACGGGAGGCAGCAGUGGGGAAUAUUGGACAAUGGGCGAAAGCCUGAUCCAGCAAUGCCGCGUGAGUGAUGAAGGCCUUAGGGUUGUAAACUGCUUUAUACAGGAAGAACACACCCUCGUGAGGGUACUUGACGGUACUGUAUGAAUAAGGACCGGCUAACUCCGUGCCAGCAGCCGCGGUAAAGUGACU